AGCUUUGCACAAUGUCAGUAUCAGAGCCAAUGAGGUUAACCCGAGGCAUGAUUAUUGCUAGUUGAAAACCUUUCUUUACAAUUCCC
rnacentral:snRNA from 1 species